AGGGAAUGCGGAGAGGAGAAGCGGGAGCCGCUUACAUUGCGCGCCACUUUCAUGCCUGGGAAAAGGGGGAGCCCCCCACCCCGCAAGUGUUAACCUCUGCCACUGGGGCAGGCGACAGACGAGGAGAAGCAAACGAGCUGCUGAAAGGGGGGAAUUCCUGAGCAAUCAUCUAGAAACUUAAAAUUGGAUGCUUCUGCUGGUUGAAGACAAAAGAGGAUGAUUGACUUGAUUUGUGCAUUACUGCAUCCCAACACCCCACAGAGGACGUUUGAAAGAAAGCAUACUGAUAAAAGAGUUAGAUAAAUCCCAGCAGGAUCCUUCUCGCCUCCCGUGAGAUGGUGGUUCUCUUGUUCCAGCGGAGAGAGUGAAGGCCGUUCUGAUGCACUGGGCAUGGCCCCUGUCCGAGGCUCUUUUCACAUUGUGCUACUGUCUAACCCCAACCCAAGCAGUGCAAUGUUAAAAGGGCAUUGGGUGGGCGGCCACAGCAGCGCAGAACCUCUCUACCUCUAUUGGCAAAGCUCAAGGAGUAGCAUAGAGCUUUCCUAUGCGAGACAGAAGGGAUGUGUUAUGGGGGAAAGGAUUGUCCUGUCCUGCCCCACCCUGGUAGCAAAAGGUGGGCUCCUGUGACACCUGAGGCAGCACAUGCAUCCCAUCCCUUACAUGGGCCUGUUCAGGGUUGGCUGCUAGCCUGGAAUGGGUCACACGCCAAUGUGGCGUGGAGGCCAGUUCAUUCCUUGCAAGUCAGCUUUUAACACGUGUAUUUCUGAGGCAGCUGCAACAACCUGCCACCACAUGCUUUCUUGGUCACUGGGUGCAUGUUCUGUCUUCAUAAUGCUUGGCUGAUUGCUGGUAAAAGCUAAAGUCUGCGGGAAGAAAACUGAUUCUUUUUAGAUGUGGAAGAGAAAAUAUGGGUAACUGUGCUGGCAGCUUACUUGGCUCAUAGUAAUUUUGCAUAUAUAGUGUCCCCAGCUAUAAAUGGAGAGAAACA